UCCGGUGUGGCGCAGUGGCAGCGCAAACGGCUGUUAACCGUUGGGUCGUAGGUUCGAAUCCUACCACCGGAGCCA
rnacentral:tRNA from 2 species